UACGUAGGUGGCAAGCGUUGUCCGGAUUUACUGGGCGUAAAGAGCGCGCAGGCGGUCGUCCAAGUCGCGUGUGAAAGCCCCCCGGGCUCAACUGGGGAGGGUCACGCGAUACUGGUCGACUCGAAGGCAGGAGAGGGUAGUGGAAUUCCCGGUGUAGUGGUGAAAUGCGUAGAUAUCGGGAGGAACACCAGUGGCGAAGGCGACUACCUGGCCUGUUCUUGACGCUGAGGCGCGAAAGCUAGGGGAGCAAACGGG
rnacentral:rRNA from 1 species